GAUGAACGCUGGCGGUGUGCCUAAUACAUGCAAGUCGAGCGAACAGACGAGGAGCUUACUCCUCUGACGUUAGCGGCGGACGGGUGAGUAACACGUGGAUAACCUACCUAUAAGACUGGGAUAACUUCGGGAAACCGGAGCUAAUACCGGAUAACAUGUUGAACCGCAUGGUUCAACAGUGAAAGACGGUCUUGCUGUCACUUAUAGAUGGAUCCGCGUCGCAUUAGCUAGUUGGUAAGGUAACGGCUUACCAAGGCAACGAUGCGUAGCCGACCUGAGAGGGUGGUCGGCCACACUUGAACUUGGACACGGUCCAGACUCCUGCGGGAGGCAGCAGUAGGGAAUCUUCCGCAAUAGGCGGAAGCCUGGCAGAACAACGCCGCGUGAGUGAAGGAGGUCUUGGGAUCGGAAAACUCUGUUAUUAGGGAAGAACAAAUUUGGAAGUAACUAUGCACGGCUUGACGGUACCUAAUCAAAAAGCCACGGCUAACUACGUG
rnacentral:rRNA from 1 species